AGAGUUUGAUCCUGGCUCAGGAUGAACGCUAGCGAUAGGCCUAGCACAUGCAAGUCGAGGGGCAGCAUAGAGUAGCAAUACUUUGAUGGCGACCGGCGCACGGGUGAGUAACACGUAUGCAACCUACCUACAUCAGGGGAAUAACCCGGAGAAAUUCGGACUAAUACCGCAUAAUACAGGGAUGCCGCAUGGCAAUAUUUGUUAAAGAUUUAUCGGAUGUAGAUGGGCAUGCGUUCCAUUAGCUAGUUGGUGAGGUAACGGCUCACCAAGGCAACGAUGGAUAGGGGAACUGAGAGGUUUGUCCCCCACACUGGAACUGAGACACGGACCAGACUCCUACGGGAGGCAGCAGUGAGGAAUAUUGGUCAAUGGACGAGAGUCUGAACCAGCCAAAUCGCGUGAAGGAAGACUGCCCUACGGGUUGUAAACUUCUUUUGUACAGGAAUAAAAGACAUUAUGUGUAAUGUAUUGCAUGUACUGUACGAAUAAGCAUCGGCUAACUCCGUGCCAGCAGCCGCGGUAA
rnacentral:rRNA from 1 species